CGCACGGGUGUAGCAAUACACCAGUGGCGAACGGGUGAGUAAUGAAUCGCUAACGUACCCUGGACUCUGGGAUAGCUGACCGAAAGGUCAGGUAAUACCAGAUGAUAUAACUUUGUCGCAUGACAGAGUUCUCAAAGGUCCGCCGGUCCUGGAGCGGGCGAUUUCGUAUCAGCUAGUUGGUGAGGUAACGGCUCACCAAGGCGACGACGCGUAGCCGGACUGAGAGGUUGGCCGGCCACAUUGGGACUGAGACACUGCCCAGACUCCUACGGGGGGCUGCAGUAACGAAUCUUCCGCAAUGCACGAAAGUGUGACGGAGCGACGCCGCGUGUGGGACGAAGCCCUUCGGGGUGUAAACCACUGUCAGGGGAAAGAAAGUUCUGAUCUACCCCAGAGGAAGAGGCGGCUAACUCUGUGCCAGCAGCCGCGGUAAUACAGAGGCCUCGAGCGUUAGGCGGAAUCACUGGGCUUAAAGCGUGUGUAGGCGGACUUCUAAGUACCUUGUGAAAUCCCACGGCUCACCCGUGGAACUGCUUGGUAUACUGGUUGUCUUGAGCCUUCUAGGGGCGAGUGGAACAAAUGGUGGAGCGGUGAAAUGCGUAGAUAUCAUUUGGAACGCCAAUGGUGAAA
rnacentral:rRNA from 1 species